AGCAGCCGCGGUAAUUCCAGCUCCAAUAGCGUAUAUUAAAGUUGUUGCAGUUAAAAGCUCGUAGUUGAAUUUCGGGAUCAAUAUGUCGGUCGUGCCUUCGGUACGUACUGGUAUCAUUGGUCUCUCCUUUCUGACGAACCAUGAUGUCAUUAAUUUGGUGUUAUGGGGAGUUAGGACUGUUACUUUGAAAAAUUAGAGUGUUUAAAGCAGGCUUUAGCUUGAAUACAUUAGCAUGGAAUAAUGAAAUAGGACGUUCGAACCUAUUUUGUUGGUUUCUAGGAUCAACGUAAUGAUUAAUAGGGAUAGUUGGGGGCAUUAGUAUUCAAUUGUCAGAGGUGAAAUUCUUGGAUUUAUUGAAGACUAACUACUGCGAAAGCAUUUGCCAAGGAUGUUUUCAUUAAUCAAGAACGAAAGUUAGGGGAUCGAAGACGAUCAGAUACCGUCGUAGUC
rnacentral:rRNA from 1 species